UAUCCAGACUCCUACGGGAGGCAGCAGUGGGGGAUAUUGCACAAUGGGGGGAACCCUGAUGCAGCGACGCCGCGUGGGUGAAGAAGCGCCUCGGCGCGUAAAGCCCUGUCAGCAGGGAAGAAAAUGACGGUACCUGAAGAAGAAGCCCCGACUAACUACGUGCCAGCAGCCGCGGUAAUACGUAGGGGGCAAGCGUUAUCCGGAUUUACUGGAUGUAAAGGGGGCGCAGACGGCGAUGCAAGCCAGGAGUGAAAGCCCGGGGCCCAACCCCGGGACUGCUCUUGGAACUGCGUGGCUAGAGUGCAGGAGGGGCAGGCGGAAUUCCUAGUGUAGCGGUGAAAUGCGUAGAUAUUAGGAGGAACACCAGUGGCGAAGGCGGCCUACUGGACGGUGACUGACGCUGAGGCUCGAAAGCGUGGGGAGCAAACAGGAUUAGAUACCCUUGUAU
rnacentral:rRNA from 1 species